UUCAUUGCCUACUGUCCGAAGCACAAACCGCUCUUGUCUGGAGAAGGUGAGCGGCCAGCUCUCUGCCCUGGAAGAUGCUCAUGAUGCAAAGGAGGUAGCUCUGCAGAAGGGGGGGAGAGACUCAAUUCGAGGAGCAUAUGUGGCCCAUCUGUGUGGGCACCGACCUCAGGCCUGGCUCAAACACGGAGCCAGAAGGAGGGAGUGAGGGGAGUGCAUCCUCCCGCAGCCCUGCUGGGUGCUGCUGUGCCAAGUAACCCAGAUCCGAAGGUGUUGGGGCUGACCUCUUAAUGGCUUCAGGCAGACGGGGGGUAGCAGAGCAGCUGGGGUCCUGGCUCCUGUGCAUGCUCGGGUGUCUUCCCUACUUUGCAGGGAAGUCUGUUACCCCUUCAGGCUUCCUCUGUGUGCUUUGCAGCUGCUUCGCAUCUCGCCUUUUUGCAGUUGCCUUUUUGCAGUUGCCUGGAGCUGGUGUUUCGUACCCUGCAUGUUGCAGGGGCUGUGGGCUUGCUCUUAGCUCCCCUCCCCGCCUUGCUCCUGACGACUGAGGUUUUAGUUCGUAGCCUCCCCGAUAUUUUGGCAGAGCCGCUUACCAACUGGAGCAGCGUGACAGCUAUGCUGCGGGACAGCACCCCUGGCAUGCCAAACAAGGGGAAGCUGAGCCGUAGACGAGCACGAGGCUCGUGUUAAGCGGCUAUAAAAUGAGCUGAAAGCAAAAAACUCCCAAAUAAGCAGCAGUGUGUUUGCUACACACAGGCAGUCUGUCUAACCUGCACCUGACAGUGCUGGAAAGCAGAGGCGGUUCCUAAGUUUGGGAGGAGCUGGGAGCGCUGCUGCUCCUCCCUCUGUGCUCCCAGGGAGCCUUUUAGCUGGAAGCGUGGUUCUGUAGCUUAACCUAAACUGUGCUGAGGCUCUGCGCUCCCGGCGUGGCUGCGGGUGAGUUGGUGCUGCAGCUCCAAGAAAGCAUCCGCAGCCUUGUAGGGCUGGGGGAGUCAAGCCCUCUGGGUGCGUGGGGGGCUCACCCGGUACAAAGUGGCUGAGGAACGCUGGGAAGCUGCUCAUCUGAACACAGGGUGAAAAGCAGGGCCCUGCUGGCAGCAGGGAAGCACUCGUUGCGGUGGCGUUUGGGUGUAUCGGUGGUUGGGUGCUGGUGUAAUCGAUCCCUGGUGGGAAGCGGAGGUCCUGCCAGGGCUGGUGGGGUGCUGUUCCUUGAACUGACGCACACGGAGUAGGAAACGGGUUUGUUGCUUCCCUGAACGUCUCUUUGCAGCGGAAGUCCUGCUCCAGGCUGAGGAGCAGAAGCUCUAGCUCGCACCUUCAGCGUUAGGCUAGGCGGUGAAACCAAGCCCUGCUCACCUGCCCGUAACCCCUGCAGCAGAUCCCGGCGCUGCACGUCCUCGGCUUUCCCUCUGAAUGAUCCUUUGUGUAGCGCCGGGGCUCUGGAAGGCACGAGCUGCCCGAAGUCAAGCGGCACUUCCCUCUACGCAGCUGAGAGCAGGCUGAGGUUUUAACACAGAGCUUUGUGUCCCCGCUGCCUUCCCCCCGGGCUCCCCAGCAGCUGUCUGACGCAGCUUUUGGCUUUGACUUUUUCCAUUGCUGGGCUCCGCAUUUGUCUCCAGUUUCCACCACGUGCAGGUGUCCUGCAUUAUGCCUCGGAGCGUUAACUGUGGCUGCGCUGGGGAGGCUGGCAGCGUCCCCAGGACGCCUGCUCAGUUUCAGCAAGAGCGUGGAGCUGUUUGGAAACAUCUGGAUCCGGGGCACCGAGUGGAAGGUGUGGCCUUGCGAAAGCAGAGGUUUGUGACACUGAAGGGGCUCCUCUUUGGUAGCUGUGCUCCGUGUGUGUAGCUGUGAGUCAUUAGCUGGGAUUCACUUCUCUUCGCGGAGUAAAGCAGCUGGAGGAGGUGCGUUACUCCUGUAGCAGGGAGGAGCCAGCCUUGCUCCCUGCCUUGCUGGCACAAUAUUCAUCUUCCCCGCCCCGGGCUGUGACCACCUGUAACUCUGGGAAGGGACAGAGUGACGGCGAGGUCCUCCCAGCCCUGGCACCCUGAGCAGGCGCCGGGCUCCACAGCCUGCUCCUGUGGGAACAGCGGGGCCGCGUGCCCGCGCUCUCCUCUCCUCCCGUCCUGCAAAGUCACCCUGCAGCACCGGCACUGCAGCCUUAAUCCUCCCAGGCGCGCGGAGGCAGAGCCUGUUGCCGGUAAACCUGGCACCCAAAGGACAUGUUCCUCUUCGCAGCGUUUUCGUGGGAGAUUUGUGCUGAAACGUGGAAGUCUCCUUGAUCUCGCGCUCGGUCCCUGCCUGGUAAACCCUGAGGAGACGGCUGGCACUCGCUGAAGGAAGCGGGGCUGUGCCGUCCCUGCCCACCCGGGGGUUCCCGGCUUUGUUCUAUUUAUUGAGCAGCGACUCCGACACCCUUUGCCAGGCUGUGACUCACGGCAGCAACGCCUGUGCAUGAGGCGUGCCUCUCAGAGCCCCCUACGGAUACGGAGCUGCAGGAUCCUCGCAGGAGCCGGCCGUGGUUGUGUUUCCUCCCUCGAGGCAGCAGCUAGCUGAGGCUGAGCAGUGACUCAGUACCGGUGAGAUAAAUAACGGCCCACCCCCGGUCAGCGGCUCCAACAGCCCUUCUGCGAGCGACCCCAGGCACUGCGCUUACCCGAGGUGUUGGUGCCGAGCAGGGGCAGCGAGGGAAGGGCCGCGGGCAGGGCAGGGCAGGGCAGGGCAGGCGGUGGCAUCACCCAGCGCCGUGCUGGGCCGGGUUUCCCCUGCACAGCUAAAUCCCGCUGCAGGGAGGGGAGCAGAGGACGGGGAUGGCCGUAAAGCAGAAGGCCCCGUCCGGACCGUCUCAAACACGGCAGGUCCACGUCGACCCGUACGGAUUGCCCUGGGCGGCAUCCAGAUGUAUCUUUUGGCUUUUGAGCCUCUGGCCUCCUUCUUUCCGGCCUCUCCUCUGAGACCUGCUCUGUGCUUCGGGCACGGCCCUGCUGGGCCUGAUGCCGUCCUGUCCCUUCCCCUGCCUGCAGCCCGAGCAGGGACAGGCCCAGGCUUCGAUGCUGAGCAGGAUUUGGCCCUGGGUUAAGCCCGAGGGACAGUUUCAUCUGGCCCUCGCGUGGCUCCUUUUCCCUUGCCUCUGGAAGCGGGCUGUUUUAGUGGCCUCAGGGGAACGGCCUGGCCCUGCUGGGCGGGCAGAGGGGUUUAUAGGAGAGGUGCAAGCACCCCGUGCAACACCCCCCUGCAUUUCAACAUGUGCGCGGCCUUUCCUUUCGCCUCCUUCCAGCCCGGCUGUGAAUGGAGCGCUUUCAGUGGGAGGAGAUUGCUGGGAGCGCUUCUGCCCCCUUGCAUUGGUUACAGCCCAUAAAAACAUGCCAGGAAUUUGCCACGGCAGUCCCUCGCACUCCUGCAGAACCUGUGAAAGCAGCCUUUGUUCCCCGAGCUGCUCGGGCACCUCCGACCUGCACGUGUGGGACGGGGCGGGGGUCUGCGGAGCUGCUCGGGUGCUGCCGUGAGGAUGGAGGCACCGAGCCAGGCCCUGGGCAAAGCGUUCCCCGUUGUCCUACCCCAGCGUGGGGCAAGCGGUGCUGAGCGCUGCCAGGACGCAGCAGAAGGACGGGCAGAGUUUAAUGCCUCACAGCACGCCCCGCGCGAGCAGAGCUUUAGCCCUGUGCUGCUUAAGCUGAGUCAGAGGAACGGAAAUCCCGUCUUACACAGGCGUUUUUUCCAUGAGCAAGAGGUUAAGCGUUCCGUUCCAGGCUUGGGGCUGGAUCUCGUGCCCACCUCGCAGAGCUCCCAAGGGGCUGUGUCAAGCAUCACGGCCUACUGGGGGCCGACAAGGGGCUGGGAGCAGGAGGGAUGCGGGGUGGGAUGCACAGGUGGGGUGCGUGGGCAGGAUGCGCAGGUGGGACGUGCAGGUGGGACGCACGGGUGGGAUGCGUGGGCAGGAUGUGCCCCCGCCGCAGCCUGCACACAGUGGCUGGCACCCAGCCCAGAGCGCAGCUCUGGGAAUAUAUAAGUGCCUGUUUUGUUUUUGAGGGAAGCCCAAAAUGCUUCGGUGAGGACAAAACCUCUUCCUCGAUCCGCUUUCAAAGGUCUCGUUUUCUCUAAGGGACCAAACUGACCUGGCAGGGAGCGACUGACCGGGUCCAUCAGCCAGCUUGGAGGGGGCAAAUCUGGAGCUGCAGAGGCUCCCCCUGAAACGGCGGCUGGCCGGGCUGAGAUCUGGCACCCACCCGGCCCCCUCCAGCAGUGUCCCCAGGUGCUGGUGGCCCCGGUGACUUGCACGGCACAGAAGAGCCCGGCGUGACUCAGCAAGCGCCGGGUGCCAGGCCAGGGCUUUGGCGCUGUGACCGUCCCCCAGCAACGCCGACACCUGCAAUUCCGGCAGAGCCUGGGCUCGCUUAAGGCACCGUGUUACUUAAAUAUUUUAUAGAAAAUCAUUAAGCAAUUAAAUCUGGCAGUUCUCUCAUCGUAUGAAAAGCAGCUUGUAGUCUGUGCAGUAAACAGGGCAACGCUUUCCGUUCUUUCUGGAUGUCUUCUUGGAGUCUAACUCCAAUCCUUGCUUCAGAAUAACUAUAAUUAUCUCUAAUUGCCAUUAUUGUUUAACAUUUUUAGCAUUUGCAAGUGCAAACUGUUAGUUUUCCAUGCAGAUACAAUCAGCAGCCAGGGUUCACAAUGAAAGCAAUUAAAAUCCUGUGAUUA